CUGUGAUAAUAGGAAGCAUCUAACAGGUAGCAUCUUGGUGCGAGGCCAUUCACCUCACAGUGUGUUAUCUUCUGAAAGGAAACAUUGAAACUGUGUGCCCAACUGGAGUGGCAUUUGCUGAAGGAGGAAUGCCUCUUAAAUCUCAGGACAAGUGCAACUGCUCAUUUGAGGAGAGCUCUUUCCCCUCCAUCCUCCAAGAUGAUGUGUUUCAGCGGAACUUCCACUUCCAGGAGCCAAGAUGGCGGAGUGAAA